AGAGAAAUAAAAAGGAAAAGAAAAGAAGAUUCCCUGACAGAGUCCAUUUGAUGUUUUUGCCGAAGCUGGGAGUUCAAUCAUAUAAGUUAGUCUCAUGUCAACCUAGUUCUCAAGUCUAGAUUAGUUAGAUGGUUUAAGUCUAUAGUAAAACAUCAACGUCGAGUCCUUCUAUAGCCUCUGCUGGAUUAGUUAGCCACAAGCUUGUAAAUUCCCCUAUUAUUUUAUGUAAUAACGUCUCCUUUGGAGCCUUGACCAAGUGCAUGCGAUGAAGAUCCAGAUUGUUGAACCUGCAUCAAUCUACCAAUCCAGGGCUUGAUACAGUUAAACAUGUCGGUUUCCAAAUCAUUAGUUUUGGGACCCGACAUAUGGUCAAAGUGCCUUCCUCCGCUACAAUCUACAUUGAGAUGGAGGAGAAAUCGACAAUCAUAGGUGACCAUGCCACUGCCCCAGAUAUUCCAAUAUAUACGUCAUGCUGGCGCUAAGUACACUAAGGCUUUUUAAAUUAAGCAUGGUGCUGUUAACGACCAAAUUUGGUAAUAUAAGCAUCGGAAAAGAAGAUUAUAUCGAAGUGGAGUCGAAGGCGGAGAUCGAUUCGAGAACAGAGCAAGAAUCGGCUGGAGUCCAGAUCGGCUACGAUUAGGAUUG